GACGAACGCUGGCGGCGUGCUUAACACAUGCAAGUCGAACGCUGAAGCUCAGCUUGCUGGGUGGAUGAGUGGCGAACGGGUGAGUAACACGUGAGUAACCUGCCCUCUUCUUUGGGAUAACGCCCGGAAACGGGUGCUAAUACUGGAUAUUCACUGAUUCUCUCUUGGUGGUUGGUGGAAAGGUUUUUUCUGGUGGGGGAUGGGCUCGCGGCCUAUCAGCUUGUUGGUGGGGUGAUGGCCUAACAAGGCUUUGACGGGUAGCCGGCCGGAGCGGGUGACCGGGCACAUUGAGACUGCGCAAACGCCCAGAGUCCGCCGGGAGGCAGCAGUGGGGAAUAUUGCCCAAAGGGCGAAAGCGUGAUGCAGCGUCGGCGAGUGAGGGAUGGAGGCCGUCGGGUUGUAAACCUCUUUCGCUCAUGGUCAAGCCGCAGCUUUGGGUCGUGGUGAGGGUAGUGGGUAAAGAAGCGACGGCUAACUACGUG
rnacentral:rRNA from 1 species